rnacentral:rRNA from 1 species
AUUGAACGCUGGCGGCAUGCCUUACACAUGCAAGUCGAACGGCAGCACGGGAGCAAUCCUGGUGGCGAGUGGCGAACGGGUGAGUAAUAUAUCGGAACGUGCCCAGUCGUGGGGGAUAACGUAGCGAAAGCUACGCUAAUACCGCAUACGAUCUAUGGAUGAAAGCGGGGGAUCGCAAGACCUCGCGCGAUUGGAGCGGCCGAUAUCAGAUUAGGUAGUUGGUGAGGUAAAGGCUCACCAAGCCGACGAUCUGUAGCUGGUCUGAGAGGACGACCAGCCACACUGGGACUGAGACACGGCCCAGACUCCUACGGGAGGCAGCAGUGGGGAAUUUUGGACAAUGGGCGCAAGCCUGAUCCAGCAAUGCCGCGUGCAGGAUGAAGGGCCUUCGGUUGGUAACUAGCUUUG